GACGAACGCUGGCGGCGUGCUUAACACGUGCAAGUCGAACGGAAAGGCCCUGCUUUUGUGGGGUGCUCGAGUGGCGAACGGGUGAGUAACACGUGAGUAACCUGCCCUUGACUUUGGGAUAACUUCAGGAAACUGGGGCUAAUACCGGAUAGGAGCUCCUGCUGCAUGGUGGGGGUUGGAAAGUUUCGGCGGUUGGGGAUGGACUCGCGGCUUAUCAGCUUGUUGGUGGGGUAGUGGCUUACCAAGGCUUUGACGGGUAGCCGGCCUGAGAGGGUGACCGGCCACAUUGGGACUGAGAUACGGCCCAGACUCCUACGGGAGGCAGCAGUGGGGAAUAUUGCACAAUGGGCGGAAGCCUGAUGCAGCAACGCCGCGUGCGGGAUGACGGCCUUCGGGUUGUAAACCGCUUUCGCCUGUGACGAAGCGUGAGUGACGGUAAUGGGUAAAGAAGCACUGGCUAACUACGUG
rnacentral:rRNA from 1 species